UUCUAGACACACGGCAGUGUGUCCGCCAAGUUCGAGCAAAAAAAGCGACACACCGGCCGUGGGUUAUAUUACACGAACCAUUUCGGGCCAAAUUCGACCCCCCUGUAACUCAAAAUCUAUUUUAUUUACGCAUAUCAAAUUUCUAGUAUCUGUUGAGACCCCCUCACUUAUCUAAAAUACAAUAUUUCAUUAAUAUACCUAUUGUAGGUCUUGAGAUAUUGACGUCAGAAAAUCGCUAUUUUUACUAUACACUCACUGACUGAUUCACUGAUUCACUGACUCACUCAUCAAAAACCUAGACCACUUCCAAUGGUCGUAUUGACUUGAAAUUUGGCAUGGAGGUAGGUCUUUAUGUCAAGGUAAAGGGAAAAAUCUGAAAAUGGCCAAGUGUGAGUCGGUUUCAAAAUAAUGAAGGUGUUUUAUACCCGGUGUAAAUUUAUACCCCUAAGGAACUAAUGGUCGUAUUGACUUGAAAUUUGGCAUGGAGGUAGGUCUUUAUGUCAAGGUAAAGGGAAAAAUCUGAAAAUGGCCAAGUGUGAGUCGGAUUCAAAAUAA
rnacentral:lncRNA from 1 species